rnacentral:rRNA from 1 species
UACAGGGGGUGCAAACGUUGCUCGGAAUCAUUGGGCGUAAAGCGCACGUAGGCGGUUUGUUAUGUCGGAUGUGAAAGCCCUUGGCUCAACUGAGGAAGUGCAUCCGAAACUGGCAAGCUAGAGUACUAAAGAGGAUCGCGGAAUUCCCGGUGUAGAGGUGAAAUUCGUAGAUAUCGGGAGGAACACCGGUGGCGAAGGCGGCGAUCUGGGUAGAUACUGACGCUGAGGUGCGAAAGCGUGGGGAGCAAACAGG